GUAUUGCAGGAAGUCCUCUUUCACAAAAUUGUAUGUGUUUGUGUCUGAGAGAAAGAAAUGGAGACAGACAGAAAGACGAAGAAGAAGACAGCCCCCUCAGAAGAGAGCUAGUUAAGUCCUACAGGACAAGGAUCCUUAUUUGUUCACUGAAGGACCUCAGGUGGCUUGACCUGUACCCGUGGCACAGCAGUCAAUACAAAUUGGCCGGAUGGAAGGAGGGAUCGUUCCUUUCAUUCACAGAUCCCUCCCUUCUCUCUGCACUUCCUGUCCAUCUGUCUCCCUCCACUUUUCCCCUCCUCCUCUCC